AAUAGAAUUGCUGGAUCAUGUGGUAACUAAACUUUUUGAAAAACUGCCAAACUGUUUUUCAAAGUGGCUGCACCAUUUGACAUUCCCACUAAUAAU
rnacentral:pre_miRNA from 1 species